rnacentral:rRNA from 1 species
CAGCCGUAAACUAUGCUCGCUAGGUGUCAGGCAUGGCGCGACCGUGUCUGGUGCCGCAGGGAAGCCGUGAAGCGAGCCACCUGGGAAGUACGGCCGCAAGGCUGAAACUUAAAGGAAUUGGCGGGGGAGGCACAACAACGGGUGGAGCCUGCGGUUUAAUUGGACUCAACGCCGGACAACUCACCGGGGACGGACAGCAAUAUGUAGGCCAGGCUGAAGACCUUGCCUGAAUCGCUGAGAGGAGGUGCAUGGCGUAGACGUCU